GAUGAACGCUAGCGGCAGGCCUAACACAUGCAAGUCGAGGGGUAGAGUUAGCUUGCUAACUUGAGACCGGCGCACGGGUGCGUAACGCGUAUGCAAUCUACCUUAUAUAGAGGGAUAGCCCAGAGAAAUUUGGAUUAAUACCUCAUAGUAUUAUUGAAUGGCAUCAUUUGAUAAUUAAAGUUCCAGCGGUAUAAGAUGAGCAUGCGUCCCAUUAGUUAGUUGGUAAGGUAACGGCUUACCAAGACAAUGAUGGGUAGGGGUCCUGAGAGGGAGAUCCCCCACACUGGUACUGAGACACGGACCAGACUCCUACGGGAGGCAGCAGUGAGGAAUAUUGGUCAAUGGGCGCAAGCCUGAACCAGCCAUGCCGCGUGCAGGAUGACGGUCCUAUGGAUUGUAAACUGCUUUUAUACGGGAAGAAACACUCCUACGUGUAGGAACUUGACGGUACCGUAAGAAUAAGGAUCGGCUAACUCCAUGCCAGCCGCCGCAGUAACAC
rnacentral:rRNA from 1 species